rnacentral:lncRNA from 1 species
CUUUGUUAAAUCGCAUUGAUGGAAGUAAUGACAUAACCAAACUUGUUAUGGAGAAAUUGGAUACUUUUUCAAAAACAAUUGAAGGUUAUUUAAACAGUGUGAAAGAAGGUAUAACAUGUCAGUUUGAGACUCUGCAGAGCCAAACACAAAUAGAUAUGGGAGACAGGGAUGCCAAGAGCAGUCUGGCUGCAGAAGAGUUGAGCUCAGGCAUGCUUAACCUCCAACAGGAUCUGGAACAUCUUAAAGCAGAGCAGAGCAAGGAGCAGGGCAUGCUGGGCAAAAUUCUGUCUCAGCUUAGUACUUUGAUUUCUGUUCACAAGCCGAUGACAGGGCCUGGCUCUGCUAGAAUGAUUGACAGUGAGGUCCAGACAUCACCUGGUUUAUUAGAGAGGUUCUGUGUCAUAUCAGCUGAAAAAGAACACGAGAGCAAGAUUAUAUGCAACAGGCCUGUCAUUUAUUCAGGAAAAGCAGCAGAGCAGAACCAGUGUCCACUCACAACACAGAAGACACGAAACAGAAAUGCACACGCUCUGCCUGAAGAAAGACAGCAGACAGUCACAGAGGAGGUUUUCCCUGAUGCUUCGCAGAGUUUAUGGGGCACACAAUUAGUUGAGACCAGACCUUCAAGCCCACAUGUGGAUGUUCAGUCCACUGCAUCCAUAGAGGACCAUUGGGGACAGAAUGUAGACCUGAAGCCUGAAAAACAACUGCAUGUGAGAGAGAACCAAUUUGUCACUGAUGCAAUGCCACCACUGAAAGUACCUAAGAGGCGCCAAAAACCACUAAAUUAUAGGGGGAAAAAGAGAGCCCUGGUUCUCCCACAAAGACAGCCAGUGAGAAAAAAAGGAGCAAAUUUCUCAAAGGACAGCCAGCAGAAUGAAGACCUUCAGUGUGAACAAAAAGACAGAGUACCUUUAGCUUCUCUUGGUGACAACUGGAAAAUGACCAACAAGUCUGUUGCAGAGAAUCGCUUAAAACUACAGCAGCAAGCCACCGUAAAACCAGUCAGUAGGUGUGUAGCUGAACAACCACUAAACCCCUUCAGUUUGUGGUCUGAGGACACAGACAGCUCCCAAAUGAUGGUGGAAUACAAGAUGUCUGAAUGGGAAAAUGUGGUGCCUGAACCUAAAGCUAGUGUCAUAGAAGGAGAAGGUGGCCUCUGGCAGCUUUUUGACUUCACUAAUGACUCAGAAUAAGAUGCAGAAUACUUUCAUUCUGUAUUCUGAUUACACUUACAUUUGAGAAAUUAUUUAGAGUAUCUCCUUUGUUCAAUUUUUUUUUUUUUUUGUAAGUUAGAACUUGAAAUUGCCUGUGAACAUGCAAACCUUGUUCUCUAACCACUUUCCUUGCUAUAGACAUGUUCCUCUUCUGUUGCUUUACCUUGUUGAUUCUUUUUGAAGUAUGGAUUAUAAAAACAAAAAGACAAAUAGGCAGACUUUGCUACAUCUGAAAGAAUUUUGUUCUGUUUUUCUCAUGCCGUAUGACUCUAAAGCAAUAACAUUCAAGCACAUUCUGUAACUUCGGCAUGUCAUAUUCGAGAAAUUUGUGCAUAAUUUUUUUUAGGUCUUACAAAUAUUUUAGACAACCCUAGCGUAACAUCAACAGGUAUAAAAUAGUUUUAAAAU